CAGUAGCCGCGGGAAUACGAAGGGGGCUAGCGUUGCUCGGAAUGACUGGGCGUAAAGGGCGCGUAGGCGAUUUUGACAGUCAGAUGUGAAAUUCCUGGGCUUAACCUGGGGGCUGCAUUUGAGACGUCAAGACUAGAGUGUGAGAGAGGGUUGUGGAAUUCCCAGUGUAUAGGUGAAAUUCGUAGAUAUUGGGAAGAACACCGGUGGCGAAGGCGGCAACCUGGCUCAUUACUGACGCUGAGGCGCGAAAGCGUGGGGAGCAAACAGGGUUAGAUACCCCCGUAGUCCCUGUCUCUUAUAC
rnacentral:rRNA from 1 species